CACCUUACCGCGCUGUCAUGUUCAGACUGCCAGCAGCAAAGAAUCUGCUCAAGAUCAUGCAAUGUAUUGUAUGCAAGCUUUCCGCAGAUCUCCAACCCUUCAAGACAUUCUGAGAAAAAUUCAAGCUCUUAUUAAGGGAAACAAGAGUUGGAAAAAGAAAAGGAGAAAAGAAGUCGUCAGUUGUUGUGUCGGUUUAACCCACUUGUUGUCCCUCAACUUUAUGGGCCGAAAUGUUUCUGCUUUCUGAAGGGGCAAGCAAACAAGUCCAUGGGCUCAUGUUUAGCAAGGGGAGAUUGCAAGAGCAGCUCCUCACUGUCAAAUUUCAACAGAUACUUUCCAAACAAGGGUGCACCAUAGUACCAUAACAGGUUCUAGUUAACUAGAUGGUACUUUCUUUGUGUCUCCCUUACUCUAACAACAACUGAUAAAGGACAAGAUGCACUUA